rnacentral:lncRNA from 1 species
CCAGUUGCUUGUGUCGAGGGAGGGAGGGAGGGAACAGAGGGUGCGCGUGUGAAAGCUCCGCCCCCAGCCCUAGCUCCUCCUUCCCGCUUCAGCAGGUCCAGGCUCUGCGCCAGUGCAUCCUUCUCCAAGAGUGCGCUGCCUGGGCCCGCUUGCCCUGGAGUUAACUUCAGCAGUCAACGGAGAGAAGAGUGGAAACCUUACUGGAUGCGGACAGGAGAGCCAGUUACUGAAAGCAGAUAUAACGCGGAUCCUGUAAAGAGUGGUGUGUAUCCAAAAAAAAAAAAUCUGUACAAUGUAUUUUAAAACUUGUGUGCACAAAACUGAAGAUUUUCUUUUUUACCUAGUCCAAAUGCCGUCCUAGCCUGAGUCCUGCUCUUUAUAAAAAUAAAAUAAAAAGAAUUUGAAGCUUGUGAAAGUAUUAAGUGUAGACAUUCAAGUUUAUUUGAAACCCUACCAAAAAAAAAAAAAAA